CGCGUAGGCGGCCUCGUCCGUCCGGCGUGAAAUGCCUGGGCUCAACCUAGGAAUUGCGCUCGAUACAGCAGGCUAGAGUGUGGGAGAGGUUGGUGGAAUUCCCAGUGUAGAGGUGAAAUUCGUAGAUAUUGGGAAGAACACCGGUGGCGAAGGCGGCCAACUGGACCACAACUGACGCUGAGGCGCGAAAGCGUGGGGAGCAAACAGGAUUAGAUACCCUGGUAGUCCACGCUGUAAACUAUGUGUGCUUGACGUCGGGGGGCAUAGCCCUUCGGUGUCGGAGCUAACGCGGUAAGCGACACCGCCUGGGGAGUACGGUCGCAAGAUUAA
rnacentral:rRNA from 1 species